AGGUUGACCUCGGACCAGGU
rnacentral:rRNA from 1 species